UGAAAAAUUUUAUACCAUAUAUAUUUACUUUACAUAUACGCAUGUGUAUAUAUAUAUAUAUAUAUACAUUGUUUUAUCUUAUUUUUUUUUUUUUUUUUUUUUUACGUAUAAAAUAUAAUAUACAUAUCCGAUGACUCUGAUCAUGAACCGAUUAAUUUAGUUAUUUCAGACAAGUUAGACAUGUUAGGAAAUACAGGAAUGUUAAAUGAUACAAAUAAGUCAGCUAAUUUGUUCGAAAAAAAUGAAAUACGAAAUCCUAAUAUAUUUAAACAUAAGUCUCCAAUGAAAAUUAAAGAUAUUGUAGAUAAUAAUAGACAUGUAGAUAAUAAUAGACAUGUAGAUAAUAAAAUAUUGUUAAAUCAUAAGCCCACUUUGCCCUUAAAUUUUUUAGAUUACAGUGUACGUACAACUUUUUGUGAUGCAUUUGUAGGAGCUUUAAUGGGUAUAAGUAAUACUAAAAUAAAUACAAAAAAUAGUACCAGUAGUAAAAAUAAAUCUCAUGAUACACACAUGCUUAAUAAUAAUGAUAAUAAAUGCUUACAUAAUCUCCUUAAAUUUAUUGAUAGUAACAACACUUGUACUAAUAUUUGUAAUGUUGCUACGAAUAAUAACUUGAAUCCUGUCAGUCAUAUUUGUAGUACCCUUAACAAAAACCAUGGUACAAUAAAUGAUAAUUAUAAUACUAUCACCAAUAUGCCGAGUGCUAUAUACAAAAACGCUAGUAUUCUUAAUAACAACUUUAAUAUUAUUAAUGAUAAGUUUAACACUGAAAAUUAUAUUAAUACUUUUAAUAACAACAACAUUAGUACUGACAGUAAUAUUAAUGUACAUGGUACUGAUACUACUACGACUGUUAAUAAAAGUACUAUAAAUUAUAAUAAUGCAAAUACAGCUAUGUAUAAAAGUAAGACUGUUUUUCACAGUAUUAAUGUACCUGCAAAUAGUGGGAAUAAUAAUGUAAGGACUAAUGAAAAUACAUCAAUGUCGACUAAAGAGAAUACAACAAUAUCUACUAACGAAAAUACAAUCGUACAAACUAGCGAAAAUACAAUCGUACAAACUAGCGAAAAUACAAUCGUACCAACU
rnacentral:lncRNA from 1 species